UAGUAACUGCGAGUGAAGCGGGAAAAGCUCAAAUUUGAAAUCUGGCGUGCCUCCGGCCGUCCGAGUUGUAGUCUGGAGAAGCGUCUUCCGUGCUGGACCGUGUACAAGUCCCUUGGAACAGGGCGUCAUAGAGGGUGAGAAUCCCGUCUUUGACACGGACUGCCAGUGCUCUGUGAUGCGCUCUCAACGAGUCGAGUUGUUUGGGAAUGCAGCUCAAAAUGGGUGGUAAAUUCCAUCUAAAGCUAAAUAUAGGCGAGAGACCGAUAGCGAACAAGUACCGUGAGGGAAAGAUGAAAAGCACUUUGGAAAGAGAGUUAAACAGUACGUGAAAUUGCUGAAAGGGAAACGCUUGAAGUCAGCCGUGUCUGCCGGGACUCAGCCAUGCAAUUUUUGCUUGGUGCAUUUUCUGGUUAAAGACAGGUCAGCGUCGAUUUUGAUCAUCAGAAAAAGUCAAAGGGAAGGUGGCACCUUUCGCGAGGUGUGUUAUAGCCCUUUGUUGUAUAUGAUGGUCCAGGAUCGAGGACCGCAGCACGCCUUUUAUGGCUGUGGGGUGUUCGCGCACCUCAUACAACGUGCUUAGGAUGCUGGCUUUAAUGGCUUUAAGCGACCCGUCUUGAAACACGGACCAAGGAGUCUAACAUGCCUGCGAGUGUUUGGGUGGAAAAACCCGAGCGCGUAAUGAAAGUGAUAGUUGAGACCUCUUUUUUUGGGAGGGCAUCGACGCCUGGACCUGAUCUAUGGAGACGGUUCUACGGUAGAGCAUGUAUGUUGGGACCCGAAAGAUGGUGAACUAUGCCUGAAUAGGGUGAAGCCAGAGGAAACUCUGGUGGAAGCUCGUAGCGAUUCUGACGUGCAAAUCGAUCGUCAAAUUUGGGUAUAGGGGCGAAAGACUAAUCGAACCAUCUAGUAGCUGGUUCCUGCCGAAGUUUCCCUCAGGAUAGCAGAAACUCGUAUCAGAUUUAUGUGGUAAAGCGAAUGAUUAGAGGCCUUGGGGUCGAAACGACCUUAACCUAUUCUCAAACUUUAAAUAUGUAAGAACGAGCCGUCACUUGAU
rnacentral:rRNA from 1 species